CCUACGGGAGGCAGCAGUGAGGAAUAUUGGUCAAUGGGCGAGAGCCUGAACCAGCCAAGUCGCGUGAGGGAAGACGGUCCUAUGGAUUGUAAACCUCUUUUGCCGGGGAGCAAAAAGCGGUACGUGUACCGCAUCGAGCGUACCCGGAGAAAAAGCAUCGGCUAACUCCGUGCCAGCAGCCGCGGUAAUACGGAGGGGGCAAGCGUUAUCCGGAUUUACUGGGUGUAAAGGGAGCGUAGACGGUGCAGCAAGUCAGAUGUGAAAGGUCGGGGCCCAACCCCGGGACUGCAUUGGAGACUGUUGAGCUGGAGUACAGGAGAGGUAAGCGGAAUUCCUAGUGUAGCGGUGAAAUGCGUAGAUAUCACGAAGAACUCCGAUUGCGAAGGCAGCUCACUGGACUGCAACUGACACUGAGGCUCGAAAGUGUGGGUAUCAAACAGGAUUAGAUACCCUGGUAGUC
rnacentral:rRNA from 1 species